rnacentral:rRNA from 1 species
AGUGAACGCUGGCGGUAGGCCUAACACAUGCAAGUCGAACGACAGCACAGUAAGAGCUUGCUCUUACGGGUGGCGAGUGGCGGACGGGUGAGGAAUACAUCGGAAUCUACUUUUUCGUGGGGGAUAACGUAGGGAAACUUACGCUAAUACCGCAUACGACCUACGGGUGAAAGCAGGGGAUCUUCGGACCUUGCGCGAUUGAAUGAGCCGAUGUCGGAUUAGCUAGUUGGCGGGGUAAAGGCCCACCAAGGCGACGAUCCGUAGCUGGUCUGAGAGGAUGAUCAGCCACACUGGAACUGAGACACGGUCCAGACUCCUACGGGAGGCAGCAGUGGGGAAUAUUGGACAAUGGGCGCAAGCCUGAUGCAGCAACACCGCGUGAGUGAAGAAGGUCUUCGGGUUGUAAAGCUCUUUUGUUGGGAAAGAAAAGCAGAAGGUUAAUACCCUGCUGUUCUGACGGUACCUAAAGAAUAAGCAACGGCUAACUUCGUG